AAUCAACUUUGAAUUAACUAUGUUAACUUAAAUUGAAACCACAGUCAAACAAAUAUGUUUUUCAACAACUCUUCUUCAAUAACUUCCCAAACAUUGAGUCAACAUAAUAUUGAAACUUUGUCACUAACAUAUUAUGGUAGAGAGUUAAAAUAAUUACCUAACAAUACAGUCAAAUACUUUUAAAGAAUUAAUCACUAUUACUGUAUGGUAGAAGAUUAAAUGAAACUAUAAAUACUAGUCGUUUUUCAUCUAUUGUUGUACAAGAUUUGCGGCGCCGCAUUUUCUACUUAACUUAAUCAAACCGGGAUUCGAGUGUCAACACUAUGGAGUCUGCAUUGGUAGUUUAUAAGGUAUUAAAACCCUAAUCUAAUUAUAUAGGUAAAUUAUGCAUACAUUCAUUUGUUUUGUUUUAUGGUGCUUUUAUCUAAUUAUACUAUAGAUUUGUGAUUGUUUUUAAUAUAUUU
rnacentral:sRNA from 1 species